UUGAAAAACUGGUCAAAAAGCAGGAAAGACUGUCAGGAAAGAGGAGCUGAUCUGGUGAUCAUAAACAGCAAAGAGGAACAGGAAUUUGUCAGUAAACUGAGUUCAUGGUUCUGGAUCGGUCUUGAAUGGAAAGAACAUGGAUGGAAAUGGGUGGACGGAUCUCCACUGACAGAAACGUUCUGGGAAGAUGGA